rnacentral:rRNA from 1 species
UGAACGCUGGCGGCGUGCCUAAUACAUGCAAGUCGAGCGAACAGAUGAGGAGCUUGCUCCUCUGACGUUAGCGGCGGACGGGUGAGUAACACGUGGAUAACCUACCUAUAAGACUGGGAUAACUUCGGGAAACCGGAGCUAAUACCGGAUAAUAUAUUGAACCGCAUGGUUCAAUAGUGAAAGACGGUUUUGCUGUCACUUAUAGAUGGAUCCGCGCCGCAUUAGCUAGUUGGUAAGGUAACGGCUUACCAAGGCAACGAUGCGUAGCCGACCUGAGAGGGUGAUCGGCCACACUGGAACUGAGACACGGUCCAGACUCCUACGGGAGGCAGCAGUAGGGAAUCUUCCGCAAUGGGCGAAAGCCUGACGGAGCACCGCCGCGUGAGUGCUGAAGGUCUUCGGAUCGUAAAACUCUGUUAUUAGGGAAGAACAAAUGUGUAAGUAACUAUGCACGUCUUGACGGUACCUAAUCAGAAAGCCACGGCUAACUACGUG